rnacentral:rRNA from 1 species
UACGGAGGAUCCGAGCGUUAUCCGGAUUUAUUGGGUUUAAAGGGAGCGUAGGCGGGGGCUUAAGUCAGUUGUGAAAGUUUGCGGCUCAACCGUAAAAUUGCAGUUGAUACUGGGUCCCUUGAGUGCGGCAGAGGCAGGCGGAAUUCGUGGUGUAGCGGUGAAAUGCUUAGAUAUCACGAAGAACUCCGAUCGCGAAGGCAGCUUGCCGGACCGUAACUGACGCUGAUGCUCGAAAGUGCGGGUAUCAAACAGG